CAGGUAGUAACAGAGGUUCGAUUAUGGCUCAGAUUGAACGCUGGCGGGAUGCUUUACACAUGCAAGUCGAACGGCAGCACGGACUUCGGUCUGGUGGCGAGUGGCGAACGGGUGAGUAAUGUAUCGGAACGUGCUAGUAGCGGGGAUAACUACGCGAAAGCGUAGCUAAUACCACAUACGCCCUUCGAAGGAAAGCGGGGGACCUUCGGGCCUCACACCCACUAUUAGAGCAGCCGUCAUCGGAUUAGCUAGUUGGUGGGGUAACGGCUCUGGAGCGACGAUCCGUAAGCUGGUUUGAGGAAGGACGACCAGCCACACUGGGACUGGAACACGGCCCAGACUCCUACGGGAGGCAGCAGUGGGGGCCUGGACAAUGGAAACCCUGAUCCAGCCCAUCCGCGUGUGCGAUGAAGGCCUUCAGUUGUAAAGCACUUUAGCGGGAAAGAAACGGCACGGGAUAAUACCCCGUGCAACUGACGGUACCUGCAGAAUAAGCACCGGCUAACUACGUGCCAGCAGCCGCGGUAAUACGUAGGGUGCGAAGCGUUAAUCGGAAUUACUGGGCGUAAAGCGUGCGCAGGCGGUUCGGAAGAAAAGAUGUGAAAUCCCAGAGCUUAACUUUGGAACUGCAUUUUUAACUACCGAGCUAGAGUGUGUCAGAGGGAGGUGGAAUUCCGCGUGUAGCAGUGAAAUGCGUAGAUAUGCGGAGGGCUACCGAUGGCGAAAAACAACCUCCUGGGAUAACACUGACGCUCAUGCACGAAAGCGUGGGAGCAAACGGAUUAGAUACCCUGGUAGUCCACGCCCUAAACGAUGUCAACUAGCUGUUGGGGCCUUCGGGCCUUGGUAGCGCAGCUAACGCGUGAAGUUGACCGCCUGGGGAGUACGGUCAUAAGAUUCGCUCAAAGGAAUUGACGGGGACCCGCACAAGCGGUGGAUGAUGUGGAUUAAUUCGAUGCAACGCGAAAAACCUUACCUACAUGGUAUAGUCUGGAAUCCGAGAUUUGGGAGUGCUCGCAAGAGAACCAGACACGAUUGCUGCAUGGCUGUCGUCAGCUCGUGUCGUGAGAUGUUGGGUUAGUCCGCAACGAGCGCAACCCUUGUCAUUAGUUGCUACGAAAGGGCACUCUAAUGAGACUGCCAGGUGACAAAUGGAGGAAGGUCGAGAUGACGUCAAGUCCUCAUGGCCCUUAUGGGGCAGGGCUUCACGUCGCUGCAAUGGUCGGGACAGAGGGUCGCCAGCCCGCGAGGAGGGAGCCAAUCCCGAGACAGUCGUAGUCCGGAUCGCAGUCUGCAACUCGACUGCGUGAAGUCGGAAUCGCUAGUAAUCGCGGAUCAGCAUGUCGCGGUGAAUACGUUCCCGGGUCUUGUACACACCGCCCGUCACACCAUGGGAGUGGGUUUUACCAGAAGUGAUUAGCUAACCGUAAGAGGCGUUCUACGAUAAGGAUUCAUGACCUGGGGUGAAGUCGUAACAAGGUAA
rnacentral:rRNA from 1 species